AACUCCAAGUGAUAAAGUAUGACAUCACAUGAGUGUCAGGUGAUACAUUCUACAGUAGCUCACGAUUUAUUCAGCACACACAUUCUGAGUGCCGCCUCUCCACUAGACACAUGAUGGGGAGAGUCUAGUUUGAGAAAGACGGAUGUAGUACCAGGGGAUUUCAGAAAAGGACAAUGUUGAUGUGAGCUGGGAUUGUCAAAGGUGAUUUCAAGAAGAAGGCAGAAGGAAACUGUGCCCGAUGGGAGAGAGGAGAGGAAACAAACUAGCUAAUGAAGGUGCCAGCAAGAGUGAGAGUCUGAGGUUGGGCCCCGAGGCCAGACUGCAUCACAUGAGGUCGGUAAUAACACUCUUGAGCGACACUCAGCUGCCUCCUCUGCCAGACUAUUAACCUGCAGCUCUCUUGCUGAGUUUCCCUGAAGCUCAGGGAAGGAAGUCCAGAGGACUAGGUGCUUCCCCCGCGCGAAGAGGACUGAAGAUGAUUUAAAGUAGUGUUUGUAUAAUAGAGAUAUUCAUAUGCAACUGGCUGAGAAUGAAGAAGCAAGGAAAGCAGUCAGAUAUAUGUCCUUGCCACUCCAGGGCACCCUGCCUUCAGGAGCACAAAGGGUAGCAGUGUUUUCUUUGGAUCAGAAAUCUCUGCCAGGCCCCACUGACUGGGGACAUAAGGUUCCAUUGCUAGGGUCCCAGCUGCCUGCCUGGAGUGGCAUGUCUCCAGCAUGUCCACAGACAUAGACUAAAGAGAAAAGCAAUCACUUCCUCACCGUCGGAAAAGAUUAAACUCUGGCUCCAUUCCUGUCCAACUCUUUCCAGCAAACUCUAGGUGUCCUGGGUAAAGGGUGAGGAGGUGGAGGUGAGUCUAGCUCCCUGCAGCACUGUGGCCCCAGGGUCAGAAAUAGCCCUGAUUUCUUUUACGAUGCACUCCACCCUCUGUUGUGGGGCCUUUCAUGGAGGCUACAUAAAUGUGCUUGGAAUUUAUU
rnacentral:lncRNA from 1 species